AAAAUGAUAGAGCAUUGAAACCCAGUGAAGACAUCUUGCUGAUGGCUGGGACACAACCGAUAAAGAUGAUGAUGUGGGAUACUGUAUCAGAGUCAAGACCUGUCUAGAGAUAUACAGGUUUCCGGUAUAUUAAGAUCUGCAUAUGUCAAGGCAGAUCUGAAAACAAUAUACCGCUUCGGUUGAUGGUGCAUUACGCUCUUCGAUGUAAACGACUACUGCAACAGGCGCGACAAGAGGCUCUGCAGCGAUGCAUCCCACGUGAUGAUUUCAGCUUGAGAACCUGAAAUCACCGUUCUCAAAGGAAGCGUGCGGCUUGAUGGGUGGAGACAUCCUAUAACUGUUGAGUAGGUAUAAGUAGGUGAAUGCCGUAGCUAUUAGAAUUGCUGAAGCUCACUGAAAGUUGGAAGGUAAUCUAGUCCUUCCCGUUGUCCGGUAGAGAUACCCAUUCCAGAAGUUAUAAAGUAGCUCUUUAUAGCUCAGCCUGGCGUGAACGUGCGUGAAUAACAGAUUAGGGUAAGUAAUGUAUGGCGAAGGCUGUCAAUGCUUUUUUAUU
rnacentral:sRNA from 1 species